rnacentral:rRNA from 1 species
UACGUAGGGUGCAAGCGUUAUUCGGAUUCACUGGGCGUAAAGGGUGCGCAGGCGGCCGUGUGUGUGAGGUGUGAAAGCCCGGGGCUUAACCCCGGAAUUGCACCUCAAACUACAUGGCUAGAGCAUUGGAGAGGGUAGCGGAAUUCACGGUGUAGCAGUGAAAUGCGUAGAUAUCGUGAGGAACACCAGAGGCGAAGGCGGCUACCUGGACAAUUGCUGACGCUCAGGCACGAAAGCGUGGGGAGCAAAAGGG